GAAUGUGCUCUGCUCCAGCGACGGAGGAGAGGGCACGGACCUCCCGCCGAGCCCCGCGACGAAGGGGAGGGGGCCGCGUCGGAGGGGAGUGGUGGGCGACGGAGAGGAGGGAGCCGCGUCGGAGGGGAGGGGAAGAUGACGGACCGGUCCCAGCGACGUAGGGGAGGGGACGACGUCGGACUGAAGCGUCUGAGGCGGCGUCCACGGAGGUCUCUCCCGUCGAUCUCCGCGACGGAGGGCAAAGCGGGAUGGAGGGGACAACGGAGGCGCCCGGCGAGGGAAGGAGCAUCGGCGUUGGUUGAGGCCAGCGAGGGGAGGAGCGGCGGCUGCGGCGUUGGACAUGGACGGCGAGGGGAGGAGCGGUGGCGGCGGUGGACAUGGCCAUAUCCUGUAAGUUACAGCUCCCUGAGGAACCGGAAAGUGCUUAUAGAGCGAAGCUCCAGCAUCCAAGAAUACCUUGAACUGGUAAUAUUUUCCAUACACAAGGGCAGGACAGAAAUGCCGCCUCAAGCAUCGACCAUACAGAAAGGCGUCUGGGUUUAACUCGGUAGCCUGCAAGCUGAAUCUGAAAGACUAUAAGCAAGCCAAGAGGAUUUGCACUAAGAAGGGACCAAAACCCACGAGCAGACACUAGCGGUCGGAGCAGGACGCUGCCGCUCAGGCUGACAGCUGCUUCUUUUGCUUUGACCCGGCGUCGAGCGAGGCGAUAGCCGACGAGCAGCGCCUCCAGGACUAGCCGGGGCCGGAGCAAGAACCAACUGAUCACUGAUUCUUUGACUGUCUGCUGCAGUUUGUUCUAUUGUCUAAUUCUAAUAAUGUUGUUCUGAAUUUCUUGGCAAUGCUAUCUGAACACGAUGAUGGAAUGAUAUGCUUGUACUGGUUCUGUUCAGUGAUAUGAUGCGAUUUAUGAGGAAAUGAAAAAAUGGUUACAUAAAC